rnacentral:rRNA from 1 species
UACAGAGGUCCCAAGCGUUGUUCGGAUUCACUGGGCGUAAAGGGUGCGUAGGUGGUCGGGUAAGUCUGAUGUGAAAUCUCCGGGCUCAACCCGGAAAUGGCAUUGGAUACUAUUCGGCUAGAGGGUUUGAGGGGGGACUGGAAUACUUGGUGUAGCAGUGAAAUGCGUAGAUAUCAAGUGGAACACCAGUGGCGAAGGCGAGUCCCUGGAAAACUCCUGACACUGAGGCACGAAAGCUAGGGGAGCAAACAGG